rnacentral:rRNA from 1 species
GUGACUAAGCGUACACGGUGGAUGCCUUGGCAGUCAGAGGCGAUGAAAGACGUAGUAACUUGCGAUAAGCCCAGAUUAGGUAGUAACAACCAUUUGAGUCUGGGAUUUCUGAAUGGGGAAACCCACUUACAUAAGUAAGUAUCAUUAACUGAAUACAUAGGUUAAUGAGGCGAACCGGGGGAACUGAAACAUCUAAGUACCCCGAGGAAAAGAAAUCAACCGAGAUUCCGAAAGUAGCGGCGAGCGAAAUUGGACUAGCCCUUAAGCUUUACACGCGUUAGACGAACGG